rnacentral:rRNA from 1 species
AUUGAACGCUGGCGGCAGGCCUAACACAUGCAAGUCGAACGAGUGGCGGACGGGUGAGUAAUGUCUGGGAAACUGCCUGAUGGAGGGGGAUAACUACUGGAAACGGUAGCUAAUACCGCAUACCACCCGUUGUGCCCAGAUGGGAUUAGCUAGUUGGUGGGGUAACGGCUCACCAAGGCGACGAGCCCUAGCUGGUCUGAGAGGAUGACCAGCAACACUGGAAAUGAAACACGUUCCAGACUCCUACGGGAGGCAGCAGCGGGGAAGAUUGCACAAUGGGCGCAAGCCUGAUGCAGCCAGGCGGCGUGGAUGAAGAGGGCCUUCGGGUUGUAAAGUACUUUCAGCGGGGAGGCGUUACCCGCAGAAGAAGCACCGGCUAACUCCGUGCAAGCAGCCGCGGUAAUUC